rnacentral:sRNA from 1 species
ACACCAGUCCGUGCCGCCGUCCCGCCCGCCAGCGCCUCAGCGAGGAAGCAGCGCGCAGCCCGCGGCCCAGCGCACCCGCAGCAGCGCCCGCAGCUCGCCCGCGCCAUGUUCCAGGCGGCCGAGCGCCCCCAGGAGUGGGCCAUGGAGGGCCCCCGCGACGGGCUGAAGAAGGAGCGGCUACUGGACGACCGCCACGACAGCGGCCUGGACUCCAUGAAGGACGAGGAGUACGAGCAGAUGGUCAAGGAGCUGCAGGAGAUCCGCCUCGAGCCGCAGGAGGUGCCGCGCGGCGCGGAGCCCUGGAAGCAGCAGCUCACCGAGGACGGGGACUCGUUCCUGCACUUGGCCAUCAUCCAUGAAGAAAAGGCACUGACCAUGGAAGUGAUCCGCCAGGUGAAGGGAGACCUGGCCUUCCUCAACUUCCAGAACAACCUGCAGCAGGUGCGCCGCUUGCUGGCCCGGGCUCUCUCUGACCCUGGGACGUAGCUGAUGUAGCAGAGUCACCCCAGAUCCUUUCUGAAUUCAGGGCCACUGAGCACUAUUCACCCUCACCUUUUACUUCACAUCAGCCCACAUCCUAGAGAGUGAAGGAAAUUCC